UUCCUGAUGGUCGGGUGGCUAAGACUCUGCACUCCCAAUGCAGGGGGCCUGGGUUCGACCCUGGCCAGGGAA
rnacentral:tRNA from 1 species